CCUACGGGCGGCAGCAGUGGGGAAUAUUGGACAAUGGGCGAAAGCCUGAUCCAGCCAUGCCGCGUGUGUGAAGAAGGCCUUCGGGUUGUAAAGCACUUUCAGUGGGGAAGAAAGCCUUGGGGCUAAUACCCUCGAGGAAGGACAUCACCCACAGAAGAAGCACCGGCUAACUCCGUGCCAGCAGCCGCGGUAAUACGGAGGGUGCGAGCGUUAAUCGGAAUUACUGGGCGUAAAGCGCGCGUAGGCGGUCUGAUAAGCCGGUUGUGAAAGCCCCGGGCUCAACCUGGGAACGGCAUCCGGAACUGUCAGGCUAGAGUGCAGGAGAGGAAGGUAGAAUUCCCGGUGUAGCGGUGAAAUGCGUAGAGAUCGGGAGGAAUACCAGUGGCGAAGGCGGCCUUCUGGACUGACACUGACGCUGAGGUGCGAAAGCGUGGGUAGCAAACAGGAUUAGAUACCCCAGAGUC
rnacentral:rRNA from 1 species